rnacentral:rRNA from 1 species
AAUAUUGGACAAUGGGGGAAACCCUGAUCCAGCCAUCCCGCGUGUACGAUGAAGGCCUUCGGGUUGUAAAGUACUUUUGUCAGAGAAGAAAAGGUAUCCCUUAAUACGGGAUACUGCUGACGGUAACUGAAGAAUAAGCCACGGCUAACUACGUACAAGCAGCCGGGGUAAUACGGAGGGUGCAAGCGUUAAUCGGAAUUACUGGUCGUAAAGGGUGUGUAGGCGGUUCGGAAAGAAAGAUGUGAAAUCCCAGGGCUCAACCUUGGAACUGCAUUUUUAACUGCCGAGCUAGAGUAUGUCAGAGGGGGGUAGAAUUCCACGUGUAGCAGUAAAAUGCGUAGAUAUGUGGAGGAAUACCGAUGGCGAAGGCAGCCCCCUGGGAUAAUACUGACGCUCAGACACGAAAGCGUGGGGAGCAAACAGG